rnacentral:rRNA from 1 species
GUUAAGCGACUAAGCGUACACGGUGGAUGCCCUGGCAGUCAGAGGCGAUGAAGGACGUGCUAAUCUGCGAUAAGCGUCGGUAAGGUGAUAUGAACCGUUAUAACCGGCGAUUUCCGAAUGGGGAAACCCAGUGUGAUUCGUCACACUAUCAUUAACUGAAUCCAUAGGUUAAUGAGGCGAACCGGGGGAACUGAAACAUCUAAGUACCCCGAGGAAAAGAAAUCAACCGAGAUUCCCCCAGUAGCGGCGAGCGAACGGGGAGCAGCCCAGAGCCUGAAUCAGUGUGUGUGUUAGUGGAAGCGUCUGGAAAGGCGCGCGAUACAGGGUGACAGCCCCGUACACAAAAAUGCACAUACUGUGAGCUCGAUGAGUAGGGCGGGACACGUGGUAUCCUGUCUGAAUAUGGGGGGACCAUCCUCCAAGGCUAAAUACUCCUGACUGACCGAUAGUGAACCAGUACCGUGAGGGAAAGGCGAAAAGAACCCCGGCGAGGGGAGUGAAAAAGAACCUGAAACCGUGUACGUACAAGCAGUGGGAGCACGCUUAGGCGUGUGACUGCGUACCUUUUGUAUAAUGGGUCAGCGACUUAUAUUCUGUAGCAAGGUUAACCGAAUAGGGGAGCCGAAGGGAAACCGAGUCUUAACUGGGCGUUAAGUUGCAGGGUAUAGACCCGAAACCCGGUGAUCUAGCCAUGGGCAGGUUGAAGGUUGGGUAACACUAACUGGAGGACCGAACCGACUAAUGUUGAAAAAUUAGCGGAUGACUUGUGGCUGGGGGUGAAAGGCCAAUCAAACCGGGAGAUAGCUGGUUCUCCCCGAAAGCUAUUUAGGUAGCGCCUCGUGAAUUCAUCUCCGGGGGUAGAGCACUGUUUCGGCAAGGGGGUCAUCCCGACUUACCAACCCGAUGCAAACUGCGAAUACCGGAGAAUGUUAUCACGGGAGACACACGGCGGGUGCUAACGUCCGUCGUGAAGAGGGAAACAACCCAGACCGCCAGCUAAGGUCCCAAAGUCAUGGUUAAGUGGGAAACGAUGUGGGAAGGCCCAGACAGCCAGGAUGUUGGCUUAGAAGCAGCCAUCAUUUAAAGAAAGCGUAAUAGCUCACUGGUCGAGUCGGCCUGCGCGGAAGAUGUAACGGGGCUAAACCAUGCACCGAAGCUGCGGCAGCGACGCUGAUGCGUUGUUGGGUAGGGGAGCGUUCUGUAAGCCUGUGAAGGUGUGCUGUGAGGCAUGCUGGAGGUAUCAGAAGUGCGAAUGCUGACAUAAGUAACGAUAAAGCGGGUGAAAAGCCCGCUCGCCGGAAGACCAAGGGUUCCUGUCCAACGUUAAUCGGGGCAGGGUGAGUCGACCCCUAAGGCGAGGCCGAAAGGCGUAGUCGAUGGGAAACAGGUUAAUAUUCCUGUACUUGGUGUUACUGCGAAGGGGGGACGGAGAAGGCUAUGUUGGCCGGGCGACGGUUGUCCCGGUUUAAGCGUGUAGGCUGGUUUUCCAGGCAAAUCCGGAAAAUCAAGGCUGAGGCGUGAUGACGAGGCACUACGGUGCUGAAGCAACAAAUGCCCUGCUUCCAGGAAAAGCCUCUAAGCAUCAGGUAACAUCAAAUCGUACCCCAAACCGACACAGGUGGUCAGGUAGAGAAUACCAAGGCGCUUGAGAGAACUCGGGUGAAGGAACUAGGCAAAAUGGUGCCGUAACUUCGGGAGAAGGCACGCUGAUAUGUAGGUGAAGUCCCUCGCGGAUGGAGCUGAAAUCAGUCGAAGAUACCAGCUGGCUGCAACUGUUUAUUAAAAACACAGCACUGUGCAAACACGAAAGUGGACGUAUACGGUGUGACGCCUGCCCGGUGCCGGAAGGUUAAUUGAUGGGGUCAGCGCAAGCGAAGCUCUUGAUCGAAGCCCCGGUAAACGGCGGCCGUAACUAUAACGGUCCUAAGGUAGCGAAAUUCCUUGUCGGGUAAGUUCCGACCUGCACGAAUGGCGUAAUGAUGGCCAGGCUGUCUCCACCCGAGACUCAGUGAAAUUGAACUCGCUGUGAAGAUGCAGUGUACCCGCGGCAAGACGGAAAGACCCCGUGAACCUUUACUAUAGCUUGACACUGAACAUUGAGCCUUGAUGUGUAGGAUAGGUGGGAGGCUUUGAAGUGUGG